AUCAGGAAUGCGAAUUACUAAAUCAUUUAUUAGAGAGUAUGGAGCAAAUUCUUCAGUGGGAAUCAAAUGCCAGGAAUAUAAUUGGAGGAGAUAUCAAUGAACUAAAGGUUAAGGAGGUAUAUGUCAACAUAUUAUGGAACAAAUGGUGAGAACCCUUACAAAAAGAGUCUAUAGGCCUGGCCCAUAGGCCAACCUAUGGGUUCCUAUAGGAAACCUAUAGGUUUUUAUAGGCAAUUGGAACAUUUUCUAUAGGUCACCUAUAGGGAUGCCUAUAAGCCUAUAGAGCUCUAUAGAUGCCUAAAGGCUUCUAUAGGGAAUUGGAACAUUUCCUAUAGGCACCUAUAGGCCACCUAUAGACUUUUUUCAUAAGGGAAAACCUACAAGAAGUCAAAACCCACCGGGCACACGACGUUGUUUCAACGUUGAAAUUUGGCAG